rnacentral:rRNA from 1 species
GACGAACGCUGGCGGCGUGCCUAAUACAUGCAAGUCGAACGAACGGAUAAAGAGCUUGCUCUUUUGAAGUUAGUGGCGGGCGGGUGAGUAACACGUGGGUAACCUGCCUCACAGCUGGGGAUAACAUCGAGAAAUCGAUGCUAAUACCGAAUGUGCUGAACAUCAUAAGAUGUUCAAGUGAAAGACGGUUUCGGCUGUCACUGUGAGAUGGACCCGCGCUGGAUUAGCUAGUUGGUAAGGUAAUGGCUUACCAAGGACGACGAUCCAUAGCCGACCUGAGAGGUGAUCGGCCACAUUGGGACUGAGACACGG